rnacentral:lncRNA from 1 species
GAAAAAGGGAUGUAGGUGCUAGGAAUGAGACUUCAGGGAUCUUUUACAACCUAAAUAAUUUUAUGCUUCUAUGAUUCUAUUUGUGUCAGCUACAGCAUUGGUAGUCUUUGCAGUAAGCUGUUUUAUUCAGGAAAGCUAGCAGCUGAAGUAAUGAAAAAUUGCUGCACCCAAAUAGAUUCAAAAAUCCACCUCAGAUAUUAAGAAUACCUGGAAAAGAACUACAGAUUUCAGAAUGAAGUAUUUCUAAAAUCAUAAUAAAAUUUGGGUCUAGAUCUCAAUUAUUUGUGUCUCAUACACAUCUGUUUAUUUUUUAUCUGUUUAAAAAAAUAUGAAAGGUUAGUGAUAGAGAACCCUGAGAUAACAGCCACAAGACUGAAACCUAUGGAAGCUGUGCGCAAAUGAUUUUCAGAGCAUCAUCCUUUGAUUAUAGAGCUCAAGCCUAAGGUCUUUUCAUCACAAUGUUGUAGACAAGUUCAAAGUCAGGGAUUUUAUUGUAAGCACGCUUUCCAAUACUACCUUUCUGAGAAUUACCACUUUAAUUAGCAGAAGGAAAAACAAGGCUGAGUUCAUAAGAGGACAUGAAGUAAAAUGAUGCUCCUUUGAAUUGACAGGUGACAGAAUAUUACACAGGUGAAUCAGAAAGGUUGUGGAGUCAUCAUAUAGAUCUUCAAAAGGUUCCUGGACACAGACCUGGGCAGCCUGCUCUGGGUGCCUUAGCAGCAACCAGGACCAGGCGGCCUCCAGAACUCCCUGCCAACUUCAACCACUCUGUGAUUUUGUUAUUCUCUGAUUCUGAAAAAUGUACCUACUGUAGUCAGACAAAUGACGUUAGUUUUGUUUCAGAAAAUGUAUAAUUUCUGUAAAUGUAUGUUGUUUUUUUUUUUUUUAAUCUUAGAAACAGACUUUCCCUCAACUGCUUAGAGAUCUUUGUUGUUUGUUUAUUUCUUCUUUUUUAAAUGUUAUAGUGUUGGAUGUUGAAGACCUGCUAUUAAAAAAAAAAAAAAAAAAAUGGCAAGAGAAUACCUUAAAAAAAAAAAACCCAAACAACAACAAAAAACUCGAAAUAUUUCCCCCACUCCCCCUGAAAAAAAAAAAAAAAA